rnacentral:rRNA from 1 species
UAGAGUUUGAUCCUGGCUCAGAUUGAACGCUAGCGGGAUGCCUUACACAUGCAAGUCGAACGGCAGCACGGACUUCGGUCUGGUGGCGAGUGGCGAACGGGUGAGUAAUGUAUCGGAACGUGCCCAGUAGCGGGGGAUAACUACGCGAAAGCGUAGCUAAUACCGCAUACGCCCUACGGGGGAAAGCAGGGGAUCGCAAGACCUUGCACUAUUGGAGCGGCCGAUAUCGGAUUAGCUAGUUGGUGGGGUAACGGCUCACCAAGGCGACGAUCCGUAGCUGGUUUGAGAGGACGACCAGCCACACUGGGACUGAGACACGGCCCAGACUCCUACGGGAGGCAGCAGUGGGGAAUUUUGGACAAUGGGGGAAACCCUGAUCCAGCCAUCCCGCGUGUGCGAUGAAGGCCUUCGGGUUGUAAAGCACUUUUGGCAGGAAAGAAACGUCGUGGGUUAAUACCCCGCGAAACUGACGGUACCUGCAGAAUAAGCACCGGCUAACUACGUGCCAGCAGCCGCGGUAAUACGUAGGGUGCAAGCGUUAAUCGGAAUUACUGGGCGUAAAGCGUGCGCAGGCGGUUCGGAAAGAAAGAUGUGAAAUCCCAGAGCUUAACUUUGGAACUGCAUUUUUAACUACCGGGCUAGAGUGUGUCAGAGGGANNNNGAAUUCCGCGUGUAGCAGUG